AGAACCUGUCGGCCGCCGAGUUCUGCAGCUCGAUGGCAUUGCGAGGCCGAAAGCAGAAUUUCCAGGACCUCUGAGAGUUGAAGUCGUUAUUCGGGGGGAGGGGAUUCUGUGAGCAAAAUGUGCUGCUGUUAGCAUUCACGGUCACCUGGUGAUGAAGAGUGCUGGGGAUUUGGCCACAGUAAUGGCCCUAACCCAGAACCCUCUUUGUCCUGGAGCAACAUAGCAGCUCUAGUGGCAGUGGCGUCAAACAUCAGAUUGGCUCAUAUUCUAGCCGAUACCCUCUUAGUGUGUGCCAGUCUUAGUGUUGACUGAUACACCCUAAGUGGGACUGUGGUUGCUCAUGAGGAGGGAAACCGAGGCCAGGUGAUAGGGGUGGAAGGAAACACGCUUUCCCUCUAAAUGCUUUGGGACCUGUGAAUAUCAUACCAUGUGCAUUUCUUAUUCACUCUUUAAAAUCAAAUGUUUUUAAUAUCACUUCUUCAAGAAAGUGUUCACUGACUCCCCCGAGAGUAAAUAAGAUAGAUUAGGUUUCCCGUCACGAUUCCAUUGCAGUCUGUACUUUUACCGCGAGAGCUCUUCGCAGAAUUAUGAAUAAACAGUAAUGAGUGUGCAA
rnacentral:lncRNA from 10 species